rnacentral:rRNA from 1 species
ACGAAAUGUGCCUUCGGGUGCAUUUAGUGGCGGAAGGGUUAGUAAUACAUGGAUAAUCUGCCUUUAUCUUCGGAAUAACGGUUGGAAACGACCGCUAAUGCCGGAUGUGGUGAUUACAGGCAUCUGAUAAUCAUUAAAGUUAGGGAGCCGGAGACGGUCCUUUCGGAUAAAGAGGAGUCCAUGGGAUAUCAGCUAGUUGGUAGGGUAAAGGCCUACCAAGG